rnacentral:rRNA from 1 species
UACGUAGGGGGCUAGCGUUGUCCGGAUUUAUUGGGCGUAAAGAGCGUGUAGGCGGCCAGGUAGGUCUGCUGUGAAAACUCGAGGCUCAACCUCGAGACGUCGGCGGAAACCAUCUGGCUAGAGUCCGGAAGAGGAGAGUGGAAUUCCUGGUGUAGCGGUGAAAUGCGCAGAUAUCAGGAAGAACACCCGUGGCGAAGACGGCUCUCUGGGACGGUACUGACGCUGAGACGCGAAAGCGUGGGGAGCGAACAGG